AAUUAAUGAGCUUGAAAAAGCUUUUGUUUUGAAAACAAAGGAAAGAAAUCAAUUUUCUAUUAAUUU
rnacentral:tRNA from 1 species